GACGAACGCUGGCGGCGUGCUUAACACAUGCAAGUCGAACGGUGAAGCGCCUUCCUUUUUGGUGGGUGUGGAUGAGUGGCGAACGGGUGAGUAACACGUGAGUAACCUGCCCCCUUCUUCUGGAUAACCGCAUGAAAGUGUGGCUAAUACGGGAUAUUCUGGGUCUGUCGCAUGAUGGGUCUGGGAAAGAUAUUGUUUCGGUGGGGGAUGGGCUCGCGGCCUAUCAGCUUGUUGGUGGGGUGAUGGCCUACCAAGGCGGUGACGGGUAGCCGGCCUGAGAGGGUGGACGGUCACACUGGGACUGAGACACGGCCCAGACUCCUACGGGAGGCAGCAGUGGGGAAUAUUGCACAAUGGGCGCAAGCCCGAUGCAGCGACGCCGCGUGAGGGAUGGAGGCCUUCGGGUUGUGAACCUCUUUCGCCAGUGAAGCAGGCCUGCCUCGUUUGUGGGUGGGUUGACGGUAGCUGGAUAAGAAGCGCCGGCUAACUACGUG
rnacentral:rRNA from 1 species